AGGAAUGGCCCUGUGGACCUCUGUGAUGGGACAUCUGGUGGAAUCUCACAGGCAGUUCUGUGGCAAAGAUGGAUGAAAGCUAAGGACUCAUGAGGAAGCUGGAUAACUGAACAAAGCCAUGUAAGCAGGCUUUUUGGUAUGCAUGUGGUCCCAUUACAAGGAAUACCCAAUAAAUAGCAAAUGCACACUGCCAUUCACAAGCAAUUGCAGAGAAUGGGUGGGGGAUGUGAAACUAAAGAGCUUUGUAGCUGCCUGAGGAGGUGGGUUCUCUAUAUCCGUGGGAGCUAGUGAUCCCCCACAGGUCUUAGCUGGUGCCAUGAUUGUGAUCUUAGGCCAGAUUUGAUGUCCCCCACAUGGCCGAGUCCGCCAUGGAUGCAACAGGGCAGCUUUAUUUGCUGUUGCAGGUACAAGAAUGGGAAGCCAGAAAAUGGGAUGGUAAGUGAAUCUAAAGGAUUGUAGUAAUAGAGGCCAAAUAUGGCUUGGCAUUACACUUUUUGAAAAGUGCUUGGGCCACAUGCAGUGUCCUAGCCAUAUCUUUGUGAACACAGCCUACAUGAUGACAAACAAAUGCUGACUAAUGUGAAGAUCUUAAUUAGCUCUAUCUGAUGUUGGGCUCCACCUGGCUUUUGUGGGGAGAGUUGAAUUUUUUGACUGCACUAACAGUUGUAAUUCUUUCAGGUGGAGUUUGAAUCAGGUGGACAGUUCUAAAA
rnacentral:lncRNA from 1 species